rnacentral:rRNA from 1 species
GACGGAGGAUGCAAGCGUUAUCCGGAAUUAUUGGGCGUAAAGCGUCCGCAGGUGGCUGUUCAAGUCUGCUGUCAAAGCGCAGAGCUCAACUCUGUACAGGCGGUGGAAACUGAAGAGCUAGAGUAUGGUAGGGGUAGAGGGAAUUCCCGGUGUAGCGGUGAAAUGCGUAGAGAUCGGGAAUAACAUCGGUGGCGAAAGCGCUCUACUGGACCGCAACUGACACUCAGGGACGAAAGCUAGGGGAGCGAAUGGG